UAUUUGUGGAUUUUCCUUGGCAAGUUGGAGUUGAAGUAGAUGGUGUUGAGAUAGAGGUCCCUGAGGAUGCCGAAGGUGUACUUGUUGCGAAUAUUGGAAGCUACAUGGGCGGUAUAGAUUUGUGGCAAAAUGAAAAUGAAACUUAUGAUAAUUUU